rnacentral:rRNA from 1 species
AUUGAACGCUGGCGGCAUGCCUUACACAUGCAAGUCGAACGGCAGCACGGGUGCUUGCCCCUGGUGGCGAGUGGCGAACGGGUGAGUAAUACAUCGGAACAUGUCCUGUAGUGGGGGAUAGCCCGGCGAAAGCCGGAUUAAUACCGCAUACGAUCCACGGAUGAAAGCGGGGGACCUUCGGGCCUCGCGCUAUAGGGUUGGCCGAUGGCUGAUUAGCUAGUUGGUGGGGUAAAGGCCUACCAAGGCGACGAUCAGUAGCUGGUCUGAGAGGACGACCAGCCACACUGGGACUGAGACACGGCCCAGACUCCUACGGGAGGCAGCAGUGGGGAAUUUUGGACAAUGGGCGAAAGCCUGAUCCAGCAAUGCCGCGUGUGUGAAGAAGGACUUCGGGUUGUAAAGCACUUUUGUCCGGAAAGAAAUCCUUGACUCUAAUACAGUCGGGGGAUGACGGUACCGGAAGAAUAAGCACCGGCUAACUACGUG